rnacentral:lncRNA from 1 species
CUUCGAAGCCGUUGAUUGCUCCAGUCAAUGUUGCAAGUCUUUGAAAGUGAAAAUCAAACAAGAAUUUCAGAGAUCUCCACUAAGGCAACCAAACUGAAUCCUUUCAUGCACGUGCUACACUUCUUCUACUUCUACUUGCCUUAGUCCGUAGGAAUUUCUUGUGUGCGUUGUUGUGAAUUGUAUGUGGCUUGCGUCUAGUGCAUAAUCCGAGAGCUUGAAAUUGGUGGAGAGUGAGAGAUUUUGAUGAAGAGAAAUAUGAGAUUUGAGAUGCAGAGAGAGGGAAUUGACGUACGAAUCUAUGAAGUGAGUAUCUGUGAAAUUAUAAUUAAGGCUUGAUUAUGGGGAAUGAUUAAGUAUAUAGGAUCUGGACUUAACAAAGCUUGACUCUGUUAAAUCUUCUUAGCUCAUAUCAGUUAGUUGUUAACUUUUGUUAAUCCAUCUGUUAAGGUUAGUUAUAGGUUAGUUAUAGUUAGUAGUCUGUUAAAUUUAUGUUAGUGAAUCUGUUAGUAAGCUAGAGUUAGUAGGAUGUUACAGUGUUAGAUAAAUUAUGCUGCUGUUAGUAAUCUGUUAUGAGUUUCCUGUUAAAUUUCUGGACUGCUAUUUGUUCUGUUAGUGAUUAGGUUACUGAACUGUUAAUGAAUUUCCUUGUUUUUGUUCUGUCAGAUGAUACCUGUUAAGUUAGUGUUAAUGUUGAUAACUUUAGAUGAAAUUCAUGUUAUGACUAAAUUUCUGUUAAAUGAAAAUGGUGCUUAUUAGUUAAAUGAAGGCCAGUUAGCCAAUUAGUUGGUUAAAAGAGAAAAAGUCAGUAAAAGUUGUCAUGAACUAUUAAUGGAAUUAGCUAAAUUUUCGGUUAAUGGAUGUUUGAUGUUGGUUUUAUUAGUUAAUGGUUCGAGUGUUAAUGAAACUGAUGAAAACAUGAAGUUAACUGUUGGGUUCAAAGAUCGGUAUGUUAAUAUCAAGUACUAAAACAAAGGUUGUUGCUCCUUGUUGCAGGUUGUAAUGGUGGCAAGGUUCUAGGACAUGGACCGAAGUUGGCCUUGAAACAAAUGAUUCAAGAAGGCUUGAUCAAGGAACCAAACUUGGCAUAACAUGGAUCUAUAUAUAUGUUUGGAAUACUCUUGAAGAAAAUGGAGGACUACAUGGGAAAUCAAGAGAAAAGUAGGUUUAGAUGAUUGUAGCAAUAAAUUCAUGACCAUUAAGUUAUGGAUAAACUUAACGAUAAUAAAAUCAGAGUCGCCACCACGCUUUUAUUAUUUUCAAAGGAAAAUGAAAAAGUACGAACAAAACCCAAAGAUAAGAAGUUUUCAAAUCAAAACCAAUAAAAUGCCAGAGAUUACAGGUAAGGGGGUUGGUUACAUAGAGGGAAGGUGUUAGCACCCAAAGUGUCAUAGGUAUU